rnacentral:rRNA from 1 species
GGGAGAUUCAUCGCGUUUCAUGUGUUGGCGUCAGAUGGAUGUGUGACAAUUGGCGUACACGUCUAAUUGCACCUUUUAUUUGACAAUGCUAACAUUGAACGUGUGCACUUCUCCCCUGGUAGGACGUCGCGAUCUGUUGGGUGUCGGUCUAAGGCUUGCGGUGGAGCCCGUUGGCAGUGAUUCGUUGCUGCUUGCGGACCCGCAAUGUUUCCCGGCCGGCUCGCUCGACAGUGUACAGAUGGCGCAGAGCCGCGAUUUUCGCGUUCGGCCUAUGGCAAGCAUGCUUGGUUGUGUUGGUGAUCGGACCUAGUGCCGGUCCCAGCCUCCGGUGGCUGUUAGUCGUAGUGUUCUCGAACAGACUCUGUUAAUAUAGCCGAUCUGCGACGCUAUUGCUUUGGGUACUUUCAGGACCCGUCUUGAAACACGGACCAAGGAGUCUAGCAUGUGCGCGAGUCAUUGGGACAUAACUAAACCUAAAGGCGUAAUGAAAGUAAAGGUUCGUCUUGCGCGAACUAAGGGAAGAUGGGUGUUGCAAAGUCGAUGCCCCGCAUUCCCGGGGCGUCUCAUUCUCAUUGCGAGAAGAGGCGCACCAAGAGCGUACAUGCUGGGAC